rfam:Ovis aries breed Texel chromosome 3, whole genome shotgun sequence.
UCCCUGCUGCCUCAGAUGGUAGAGAAUCUGCCUGCAAUGCAGGGAACCCAGGUUUGAUCCCUGGGUCAGGGAA